rnacentral:lncRNA from 1 species
CUUGGACUUUUUUGAUUCUGAAUUCUUCUAAUGUCUUCUGUUACCUCUGAGAAGAAGCCAUCCUUUAUCCUGUUCUAGAAAAGUGAUACACCAAGCUUUAGGAAAGAUGAUGAAAGAAAAGAAAUGGGCCCAGAGGGACCUAAGGAAACCAGGCCAAACUUGCUGUUCACGUGGACCCUUACAGGGAGAAUGGAAGGCAAAAGCAGAGAACUGGGUCCAAUUUUCUUUCUCAGCGCUAUCUGUGCAGUGGUCAGAUGUGGCACUCACAACCAAAAGGCUUUUGAAACAGCACUGGUGAGUCCUGAC